UUAUAGGGUCAGAAUACCUUAAAGGUACUAAAUCCUAGCUGAUCUUGGAAACUAAGCAGGGCCAGCCCUGGUUAGUAUUUGAUGAGAGACUGGCCACAAAAACCACGCAAUUAUUCAGG
rnacentral:rRNA from 11 species